CGGUGCCGGAAGUGCAGGCGGAGCGAGAGGGAGCGGCAGCAGGGAGAAAUAAAACCGCUCCCGGAUCCCUGCACACACUCCUUUAUCUGCCCAAAAAUACUGCGCAGCAGCCUUAAUCUGUAGAAAUAUCUGGAGCAAUAUUUGGAGAAACAUCUGGAGAAUCAUCAUCUGGAGAAAUCUGGUCCGUCACUCUUUCCAUCAGCCGGACUGCAGCUUUCACUCCAACGCGUCUGUGUGUCUCAGGAAAUGCAGUUUUGCUGGCAGGUGCUGAUGGGUCUGAUCUCUUGCUGUUUGUGGCAAAUGGUGUCAGUGGAAUGCCAUCUGCUAUCCUCAG